CCCAGCUGUCUCGCUUGAAUAUGGAGUUUUUCCUCCCUGUCAUGCGGGUGAUAUGCUCAGCACUUCUCUCAAGAUAGAGUACUGCACUACCACCUCUGGAUCCUAGUCAAGCUGCAGUGAAGACAGCUACAUUUUUCCUGUUUCCUCUGAAUCUCGAAGAGGUACAGUAAUACCAUUUUUAAUUGCUAACACUUUAAAAUUAAACUAUAGCCUAUGAAGUAGUUAGCUGUCCAAAUGAGGUGCAAUGAUUGUCAAA
ensembl:lncRNA